rnacentral:rRNA from 1 species
GUAGGGGGCAAGCGUUGUCCGGAUUUAUUGGGCGUAAAGAGCGUGUAGGCGGUCUGGUAGGUCCGUUGUGAAAACUCSAGGCUCAACCUCGAGACGCCGAUGGAAACCCUCAGACUAGAGUCCGGAAGAGGAGAGUGGAAUUCCUGGUGUAGCGGUGAAAUGCGCAGAUAUCAGGAAGAACACCCGUGGCUAAGGCGGCUCUCUAGUACGGUACUGACGCUGAGACGCGAAAGCGUGGGGAGCGAACAGGAUUAGAUACCCUGGUAGUCCACGCCGUAAACGAUGGGUGCUAGGUGUAGGGGGUGUCGACUCCCUCUGUGCCGAAGCUAACGCAUUAAGCACCCCGCCUGGGGAGUACGGCCGCAAGGCUA